GACGAACGCUGGCGGCGUGCUUAACACAUGCAAGUCGAACGGAAAGUCCCUGCUUUUGUGGGGUGCUCGAGUGGCGACCGGGUGAGUAACACGUGAGUAACCUGCCCUUGACUUUGGGAUAACUUCAGGAAACUGGGGCUAAUACCGGAUAGGAGCUCCUGCUGCAUGGUGGGGGUUGGAAAGUUUCGGCGGUUGGGGAUGGACUCGCGGCUUAUCAGCUUGUUGGUGGGGUAGUGGCUUACCAAGGCUUUGACGGGUAGCCGGCCUGAGAGGGUGACCGGCCACAUUGGGACUGAGAUACGGCCCAGACUCCUACGGGAGGCAGCAGUGGGGAAUAUUGCACAAUGGGCGGAAGCCUGAUGCAGCAACGCCGCGUGCGGGAUGACGGCCGUCGGGUUGUAAACCGCUUUCGCCUGUGACGAAGCGUGAGUGACGGUAAUGGGUAAAGAAGCACCGGCUAACUACGUG
rnacentral:rRNA from 1 species